AGAAUGACCUCGCAAUAUUUUGUUAUGUUUAAGGUGGCGAGUGGGCAGAAGCGUUAGCACGCCGGGCGAAAUGCCUAACAGUAUUUCGUCUGCCGUUACGUUCUGAGUUCAAAUUUCGCCGAGGUCGACUUUGCCUUUCAUCCUUUCGGGGUCGAUAAAUUAAGUAC